rnacentral:rRNA from 1 species
AAGACGUGCGCAGGCGGUAGUAUAAGACAGAUGUGAAAUCCCCGGGCUCAACCUGGGAACUGCAUUUGUGACUGUAUAGCUGGAGUGCGGCAGAGGGGGAUGGAAUUCCGCGUGUAGCAGUGAAAUGCGUAGAUAUGCGGAGGAACACCGAUGGCGAAGGCAAUCCCCUGGGCCUGCACUGACGCUCAUGCACGAAAGCGUGGGGAGCAAACAGGAUUAGAUACCCCGGU